UGAGGUCAUGACCCCAGCCCACAUCAAGAGUCAGACACUUCCCGGACUGGGUCACCACUUUUCUUGACCCUCAUUUCUCUUUUAUUGUGCGCAGGAACCACUCUAGGUGUUCGGAGUGAACCUUCUGGGACAGUGACCUCAGAAGGUUCAGAGUCCUUCAGAAAAGCAUCGGGGUUUGAGGACACAAGUGGUGUCCCAACUGCUCCAAGUUCAUCCUUGGGCGUCAGACAAGUAAGUACAUCUGAAACAUCUGGUGGUGUAACCAGUGGAGAUGAAAAUAAACCUGCAUCACCCAGCAGCAGUACUACAAGCUCUUCAGAUAAACCAGGUGAGAUUAGCUAAACACAAAAAGUCACAAAUAUCAGAUAUUUAUUUAGUUGGACAUCCUUCCUGCUUAAA
rnacentral:lncRNA from 12 species